rnacentral:rRNA from 1 species
UACGGGGGGGGCAAGCGUUGUUCGGAAUUACUGGGCGUAAAGGGCGCGUAGGCGGCCUUCUAAGUCGGACGUGAAAUCCCUCGGCUUAACCGAGGAACUGCGUCCGAUACUGAAAGGCUUGAAUCCGGGAGAGGGAUGUGGAAUUCCAGGUGUAGCGGUGAAAUGCGUAGAGAUCGGGAGGAACACCCGCGGCGAAGGCGGCCACCUGGACCAGACCUGACGCUGAGGCGGCGAAGGCCGGGGGAGCGAACGG